CAGGAUUAUGAUGUGAAGACCUGUUACCAAAUCUUAAGCUUCACCAGCCGUGUUGUUCACACCAUUGCAGCACCCAGAUGUGGAUUUCAGCUAUACUUCCCAGUGAUUUGGUUAAUUUUGGACCCUUAAUGGACACCUUCAGAGUGGAAAAGGAAGAACUACAUGCUGGAGAUGUGGUGUGAAGAAUCUGAAAAGCUGACCACCCGGUGUGUUGAGUCCGUAUAGCAUACUGUACAUUUACUCAGUAGCAGAUUCGCUUGUAAGAAGAAGAAUACAAAGCAGCUAAAGCUUUGGAGACCUUGGGAAUUCUAUCAAACUGAAUGGAAAAUGCUCACUUGAAAUAAGUGCCUAUUUUUAACUGAAUACUAAAAUUUCAAUGGGUGACUUUGACCUGCAGUGAAUGAAGCAGAGUGUUUAAGGACUUCUAUUCUUAAAGUGAGAAGUAUAGCUCAUGUGAUGUACACCAGACAAAGUAGAGAAAUAAAAGCUAUUUUUUUUUUCUUCUGAAAAUCUAAAUGUGUCCAAAAAGGUCAAAAUGCUGCAAAACAAAUUUUCUGGAAUUUCACUGGUUCCAUUAAUGUCUAAAGAGUUAUACUAAAGCAUCUAUGGCAGAACAGAUGCAUAAGCUUUCCCUAGAAUUAUGCGCACUGUGAGUAUUGCCUGGUCCAGUAAUGUGCAGGAAGAAAUGCUUGGAGGUAGCAGCUACAGAUGAGUCAAGUCAAAAACAUAGAAUAAGGAAUGGUUUUGCAAGCUAAGGAGCAGUAAUAUGUUACUAGUGAGGCUGGAGGUCAAGGAGAGGAAGAUAGAACAAGAUUUGUGGAGCCCACAGAGUGGGUGAGCUUUGUAGCAGUUGGAGGCUCAGAAUUUUAAUCUAUUGGACGUGAUUUCA